GAUGAACGCUGGCGGCGUGCCUAAUACAUGCAAGUCGAGCGAACGGACGAGAAGCUUGCUUCUCUGAUGUUAGCGGCGGACGGGUGAGUAACACGUGGAUAACCUACCUAUAAGACUGGGAUAACUUCGGGAAACCGGAGCUAAUACCGGAUGAUAUUUUGAACCGCAUGGUUCAAAAGUGAAAGACGGUCUUGCUGUCACUUAUAGAUGGAUCCGCGCUGCAUUAGCUAGUUGGUAAGGUAACGGCUUACCAAGGCAACGAUGCAUAGCCGACCUGAGAGGGUGAUCGGCCACACUGGAACUGAGACACGGUCCAGACUCCUACGGGAGGCAGAAGUAGGGAAUCUUCCGCAAUGGGCGAAAGCCUGAAGGAGAAACGCCGCGUGAGUGAUGAAGGUCUUCGGAUCGUAAAACUCUGUUAUUAGGGAAGAACAUAUGUGUAAGUAACUGUGCACAUCUUGACGGUACCUAAUCAGAAAGCCACGGCUAACUACGUG
rnacentral:rRNA from 1 species